AUGAUGAACGCUAGCUACAGGCUUAACACAUGCAAGUCGAGGGGCAGCAUUUUAGUUUGCUUGCAAACUGAAGAUGGCGACCGGCGCACGGGUGAGUAACACGUAUCCGACCUGCCGAUAACUCCGGGAUAGCCUUUCGAAAGAAAGAUUAAUACCGGAUAGCAUACGAAUAUCGCAUGAUAUUUUUAUUAAAGAAUUUCGGUUAUCGAUGGGGAUGCGUUCCAUUAGUUUGUUGGCGGGGUAACGGCCCACCAAGACUACGAUGGAUAGGGGUUCUGAGAGGAAGGUCCCCCACAUUGGAACUGAGACACGGUCCAAACUCCUACGGGAGGCAGCAGUGAGGAAUAUUGGUCAAUGGGCGCGAGCCUGAACCAGCCAAGUAGCGUGAAGGAUGAAGGCUCUAUGGGUCGUAAACUUCUUUUAUAUGGGAAUAAAGUUUUCCACGUGUGGAAUUUUGUAUGUACCAUAUGAAUAAGGAUCGGCUAACUCCGUGCCAGCAGCCGCGGUAAUACGGAGGAUCCGAGCGUUAUCCGGAUUUAUUGGGUUUAAAGGGAGCGUAGGUGGAUUGUUAAGUCAGUUGUGAAAGUUUGCGGCUCAACCGUAAAAUUGCAGUUGAAGCUGGCAGUCUUGAGUACAGUAGAGGUGGGCGGAAUUCGUGGUGUAGCGGUGAAAUGCUUAGAUAUCACGAAGAACUCCGAUUGCGAAGGCAGCUCACUAGACUGUCACUGACACUGAUGCUCGAAAGUGUGGGUAUCAAACAGGAUUAGAUACCCUGGUAGUCCACACAGUAAACGAUGAAUACUCGCUGUUUGCGAUAUACAGUAAGCGGCCAAGCGAAAGCAUUAAGUAUUCCACCUGGGGAGUACGCCGGCAACGGUGAAACUCAAAGGAAUUGACGGGGGCCCGCACAAGCGGAGGAACAUGUGGUUUAAUUCGAUGAUACGCGAGGAACCUUACCCGGGCUUAAAUUGCAACAGAAUAUAUUGGAAACAGUAUAGCCGUAAGGCUGUUGUGAAGGUGCUGCAUGGUUGUCGUCAGCUCGUGCCGUGAGGUGUCGGCUUAAGUGCCAUAACGAGCGCAACCCUUAUCUUUAGUUACUAACAGGUCAUGCUGAGGACUCUAGAGAGACUGCCGUCGUAAGAUGUGAGGAAGGUGGGGAUGACGUCAAAUCAGCACGGCCCUUACGUCCGGGGCUACACACGUGUUACAAUGGGGGGUACAGAAGGCGGCUACCUGGUGACAGGAUGCUAAUCCCAAAAACCUCUCUCAGUUCGGAUCGAAGUCUGCAACCCGACUUCGUGAAGCUGGAUUCGCUAGUAAUCGCGCAUCAGCCAUGGCGCGGUGAAUACGUUCCCGGGCCUUGUACACACCACCCGUCAAGCCAUGAAAGCCGGGGGUACCUGAAGUACGUAACCGCAAGGAGCGUCCUAGGGUAAAA
rnacentral:rRNA from 1 species